rnacentral:lncRNA from 1 species
ACUCACUCCUUCCCGCCGCCUUAUGAAGAAGAUGCCUGCUCCUCUUUGCCUUCUACCGUGUUUAUAAGUUUCCUGAGGCCUCUCCAGCCAUGCAGAACUACAUGGCUGUUGUGGCCUGAUGCUGCAGUGUUUAUCUUGAAGUCUAAAGAAGCAAUGUGUUCCUCCAGUGUAACUUGAUUCUGUACUCCAGGCAUUUCUUGAUGUAUCUGAAUUGUUCAAUGUAAUCAGAAAACUUCUCAUGUUUUUACUAAGAGCCAUGUAUUCCCCUG